GGUGAACGCUGGCGGCGUGCCUAAUACAUGCAAGUCGAGCGAACAGAUGAGGAGCUUGCUCCUCUGACGUUAGCGGCGGACGGGUGAGUAACACGUGGAUAACCUACCUAUAAGACUGGGAUCACUUCGGGAAACCGGAGCUAAUACCGGAUAAUAUAUUGAACCGCAUGGUUCAAUAGUGAAAGACGGUUUUGCUGUCACUUAUAGAUGGAUCCGCGCCGCAUUAGCUAGUUGGUAAGGUAACGGCUUACCAAGGCAACGAUGCGUAGCCGACCUGAGAGGGGGAUCGGCCACACUGGAACUGAGACACGGUCCAGACUCCUACGGGAGGCAGCAGUAGGGAAUCUUCCGCAAUGGGCGAAAGCCUGACGGAGCAACGCCGCGUGAGUGAUGAAGGUCUUCGGAUCGUAAAACUCUGUUAUUAGGGAAGAACAAAUGUGUAAGUAACUAUGCACGUCUUGACGGUACCUAAUCAGAAAGCCACGGCUAACUACGUG
rnacentral:rRNA from 1 species